AGAAGAUACAAAGGGAUAGCUCCAAAUCAGCUGUGGUUUUUGUGCAUCCAGAUGAUAUCUCCAACUGGCUCUGGUGCACAACAGCACAGACAGCACAUGACUUGGAGGGAGGGAAUUGAAGCUGACAGUGACCAGCAAUUUCACUAGCUAGUUCAAGAGCAAGAGAACUGGGGGCAGUCAUGGACAAAGGGCAGGACAUCCAGAUCAUGCAGGACCGUCUGAUGGCACCAUGUGUUGGCUGAUGGCUGCUGCCACAAUCCCUGUCUAGGAGGAACCCAGUGCUCAGGAACGAGACCAAGUGCCUGAGGAAGGGGCCUUUGUCCUAGCUCCACAGAAGAGCAUUCCAGACUGGAUAAUGCAAGCAGUGUUAUCGCAGUGCUGAUGCUCUGGACAAGGUGCUUUGUGAGUAAACCAAGAUUUCCUUCGUUUCCCAAGGAAAGCCUUGCAAAUAUAUUGCAGGAUCUCUGCAGUAAUCAAGAUGGAGCAAACAAAUGGCAUGGAAAAAACAUCUCCUAAAAGGAAUAAUCCAAUUACCAGCGUAGUGAUCAAAGUCACCAAUAAAACAAGAGGAACAAUGAUUGCAAUGCUUCCUAAAAUAGGAAAAGGAAAUCUCACUGAAUCCUCACAGAGGUAAAUGAGCAGUGAUGCACGGCAGCAGAUUCUCGGCAAGUUUUAUCUGAAUAGUUGAAAACUCAUGGAAAAAGGACAGUUGCAUUACAAUCUAAUUGCUAAACGGCCAAUGAAGAAUGCACACAGUCCUCCUUUCCAACAUCUUGUCAUUUCUUCGUCAACCGCUUCUCAAACAUCUGUUCACAUUUAGAACGUUAAAUUAAUGCUAGUUUACAAUACAAACUAGAUGAAAGGUCUUCUAUAAUAUAAAGUUACAACCUAUAGAUUAUGUUCAAAUUCUAUACAUUUAUAACGUAUUUUUUUUUUGGUUGAAAAUGAAAGCUCUCAAAGAACUAGCAUAAUACUGUGAAAUUCCUCUUGUAAUUAUAAUUAGAUAGCUCACUAAAUAUAUCCUAGGAAAGCAUAUGGAAAACAUUUAUUGCAAGGUAUUUUAUAAAUGUUUCUGCUGUAUGAUUUAUACUGUCUAUCAUGGUUAAAUUGCCUUCUCUUAGGCUGUCUUCUUGAUGCCAUAAUUGUCCCAUGCUGCAGUAAAAUUCAUAGAAUCAUAGAAUUAGCUAGGUUGGAAAAGGCCUACAAGAUCAUCCAGUCCAACCAUCCACCUACCACCAAUAACCCCACUAAACCAUGUCUCUCAACGCUCUAUCUAAAUGUUUCUUGAACACCUCCAGGGACGGUGACUCAACCACCUCCCUGGGCAGCCCAUUCCAAGUAGUUUUUUUUCUACUUAACCUUCAGAAAAUGCCAGUCAGGGGACUUCACAGACAUCUCUUUUUUGUCCACAACCAGGAUAGGGGUAUACCUCGACCCUUUUUUGAUCAGAGCUCUGCUACAGUUUUGCAUUUACUUAUGCACAUGCAUGUACUUACAGUGUUUCUACAAGUUAUAUACAAACUGCUCACAUUUGAAGUCUUUUCAGUAGGAAGAGAGUAUCAAGAGAGAGGUUCAGCAUCAUAGAAAUUUUUAGGAUGGGAAGGCAAUCUGUAUUUCUACAGAAUAUGAGCUUGAGGGAAGGUACUCUGUCUAGAGAAACUUAGAUUUGCAUAAGAUGUACACAUACAGAUGUGCAUGCAUGCACACUCACACAUGCACUCACAUGUCUGCAUACACGCAUAUAGAAUUUCUCUCUCCAACCUACUGAAAAUAAAGUUGGCAAAAUAUCUCUCUUGUUCAUUACAUUCCUGCAGGAAGUACUUAUUUUGCUGUCUCCAUGUCAUCACUUCAAGAUUCUUGUUCUCAUUUAUAAAGAAAAUUAUUUUUUUCCUCUCCCUAUUUUUUCACUAUUGCUUUUAACAUAUUUUUAAGACAAAAUUCUUAUUUUAGAAAUGAAGUAAUUUCUUCUUUCUCCACCCUUCACUUGUCAGAUUCUUCUGCUACCAUAGUCUUGCUUUCCUCCAAGCUCCUCUAUGGUAUGUGCCUUUUAAUUAAUUUGAAAGACCACUGAUUUCCCUACAAAAUUUGCUCUCAAAGCCACAGAUCCACUUAUUGCAAGCAAUUAAAGUGUCUAAGAUGACUUAUUCUUCAUUAUAGAAGAAAUGAUAUUCUAGUUUAGAAAUAUAACACAAUCUGAAGCCCUGCGAAGAAUCAACACUUCUAACCAUGGGCAACUAAUUUAAUACCGUGAAUAGUCCUCUGAAUUUCUAUCUUGCUGAUGGAUUGACGUCUAGGAAACAGGGGCUCUGAAGUUAAGAUCCACAUACAAUAGUAUAAGAAAGAAAAAAUGGCUACGCUUAUAUUUAGACAGCAUAAUAAUUUAAUCUUACUGCUGUCACAUUAAAUUCAGGGUUACUCAAAAGCCUAUUAAAGCUUUUAUAAACUCUCUUUCAAUUCACUUUGAUGUUGAUAAGGAUCAACAGAAUUUAUGUUUUUUGUCAGUUUUGACAGUAAACUGCAGAACAAAUACAACCGACAGUUUGUACAACAACUAAGAAAAAACAUUUCUUGGUUAUUUCUCGUCUGAACCUGAUCUUAAGUUCAUUCUUCUUCAAUGGAUUGAUGAAGUUAAGGAGCAAUUCCAACAUAUCUCAUACUCUUUUUGUGUUAUACGUUUCCCCUUUCCCCUCCCCUCACCCCCACAUAACAUUCACAUAUUAACUUUCAUAAUGUUAAUAAUUCAUAAUCUAGAUUGCAUAGGAUUUUAUAUCCCAAACAGUCUAUACUGCAUCUUUUGCAGGUUGGCAGAGUAUUCACUGAAACUGGAGACCAACUUCACAAAUUCUUCCUUUUUUUGGAGUUCUAUGUAUAGUCAAGUUAAGGCCCUCAUUCAUUCAUUAAUUUGUUAGGUGGAAAGCACAAGUCUUACUUCCCAUGUGUACCUGAUAUUUACUGCAUUCAAACUUCAAAACACUUGAAAUAGGAAGAAUUCUGGAAAAAAAAAAAAAGAACCCUAACAGCAAAGGUUGGUAAAAGGAGAGUAAGUUCAUACAGGCUUAUAGUUCUGCACAAUUAUGGCUAUGGGAUUGCCCUUAAGAAUGGAAAAAUCUUAUUCUCUCUAGUAUUUAGUGAAUGAUAAUAGGGGCUUUACUAUAUAAAGUUUGCCUUCUCACCAGGAAACAACCAAAGUGAGAACUGUGGCUGGCAAGGACUGAGACACAUGGAACUGCAAUUCUCUCUCUCUCCAUCAAACAACUUGUUCUUUUGGCAUCUGGCCACACAAAAGCACUGAAGAGGUUAGAAUUCACGUUAUCAACUCAAAGACUAACUAAGAGAUUUAAAUAUGAUUUAAUAUCUGACUUUAAAAAAAGAAACAAAACCCAAGUACUUCUCAUUUUAGACACCAAAUGUAGUUAAAGUAGACCUAAAGAUCAUGAGAACGGGUGAUGUGACAUAAAUAUCACUGCUACUCAGGAAGUUCCUAAUUCAAUUAACUUUGUUGAAAUUCUACUGUCAUU